rnacentral:rRNA from 1 species
UACGAAGGGGCUAGCGUUGUUCGGAAUUACUGGGCGUAAAGCGUGUGUAGGCGGCCUUAUAAGUCGGAUGUGAAAGCCCCGGGCUCAACCCGGGAAGUGCACUCGAUUACUGUCGAGGCUCGAGUAUCGGAGAGGUUGGUGGAAUUCUCGGUGUAGAGGUGAAAUUCGUAGAUAUCGAGAGGAACACCGGUGGCGAAAGCGGCCAACUGGACGAAUACUGACGCUGAGACACGAAAGCGUGGGAGCAAACAGG